rnacentral:rRNA from 1 species
UACGUAGGGUCCGAGCGUUGUCGGGAAUUAUUGGGCGUAAAGGGCUCGUAGGCGGUUGGUCACGUCGGGAGUGAAAACUCAGGGCUCAACCCUGAGCGUGCUUCCGAUACGGGCCGACUAGAGGUAUGCAGGGGAGAACGGAAUUCCUGGUGUAGCGGUGGAAUGCGCAGAUAUCAGGAGGAACACCGGUGGCGAAGGCGGUUCUCUGGGCAUUACCUGACGCUGAGGAGCGAAAGCAUGGGGAGCGAACAGG